rnacentral:rRNA from 1 species
AGAGUUUGAUCAUGGCUCAGGAUGAACGCUGGCGGCGUGCCUAAUACAUGCAAGUCGAGCGGAAAGGCCUCUUCGGAGGUACUCGAGCGGCGGACGGCAGAGUAACGCGUAGGAGCAUACCCCAAACUGAGGGAUAACUGCCCGAAAGGGUGGCUAAUACCGCAUGUGAUCUUCGGAUUAAAGCUUCGGCGGUUUGGGAAUGGCCUGCGUUCGAUUAGCUAGUUGGUGAGGUAAAAGGCUCACCAAGGCGACGAUCGAUAACUGGUCUGAGAGGAUGAUCAGUCUGACUGGAACUGAGACACGGUCCAGACUCCUACGGGAGGCAGCAGUAGGGAAUUUUCCACAAUGGGCGAAAGCCUGAUGGAGCAACGCCGCGUGCAGGAUGAAGGCCCUUGGGUCGUAAACUGCUUUUAUGUGAGAAGAAUAUGACGGUAACACAUGAAUAAGGGUCGGCUAACUACGUG